GACAAGUUCUUGGAAAAAAAGUUAUCUCAAAGAUGGCCCUUUACGAAGAAAAGAUAUGAAAGUCUUAAGGAAGAAGAAAAUGAAGAAAACAUAAACUUUGUUACAAUGGGCAUAAAUUCUGCGACACAAUUGCGAAAUUAUUUGUCUCUAAUUCUUUUUGAUGAUUAUUACAAUGAUAUAUCAAAUCAAAAUUAUUUCAAUGAUUCAAUUAGUAAUGUAGUAUUAAAAUUCGAUGAUGUAAAGAAAUUCAGUGAUAAUUUCGAUGAAUAUGCAAAUCGUAUGAAUGAAAAUGAACUUGUUUUUGAACGUACACGUAAGCCUAUAAAUGUGCUGAAAUGUAUGUUUUAUAUUGAGGAGAUUAAAUGCUUGUUAACACAAUUUCCACAGAAAAUUGAUCGCAAUUCAAUCCAAGAAUUUUGCAAUAUAGAAAUGUCUCACUAUGAGAAGCUAUCUUCGAUACGAAAUGAGU